GAAACCAACAGGGAUUGCCUCAGUAACGGCGAGUGAAGCGGCAACAGCUCAAAUUUGAAAUCUGGCGCCCCCCGGCGUCCGAGUUGUAAUUUGUAGAGGAUGCUAUUGGGUUGCCACCGGUCUAAGUUCCUUGGAACAGGACGUCGCAGAGGGUGAGAAUCCCGUAUGUGACCGGCCAGGCGCUCUCUGUAUAGCUCCUUCGACGAGUCGGGUUGUUUGGGAAUGCAGCCCUAAAUGGGAGGUAAAUUUCUUCUAAAGCUAAAUACCGGCCAGAGACCGAUAGCGCACAAGUAGAGUGAUCGAAAGAUGAAAAGCACUUUGGAAAGAGAGUUAAAAAGCACGUGAAAUUGUUGAAAGGGAAGCGCUUGCAAUCAGUCUCGACGGCGGCUGUUCGGCCUCUCUUCUGAGUGGUUUAUUCAGUCGCCGCCGGGCCAGCAUCAGUUUCGGCGGCCGGACAAAGGCGCGGGGAAUGUAGCUCCCUCGGGAGUGUUAUAGCCCCGCGUGCAAUACGGCCCGCCGGGACUGAGGUCCGCGCUCCGGCUAGGAUGCUGGCGAAAUGGUUGUAAGCGGCCCGUCUUGAAACACGGACCAAGGAGUCUAACAUCUACGCGAGUGUUUGGGUGUCAAACCCGUGCGCGCAAUGAAAGUGAACGGAGGUGGGAACCGCAAGGUGCACCAUCGACCGAUCCUGAUGUCUUCGGAUGGAUUUGAGUAAGAGCGUAGCUGUUGGGACCCGAAAGAUGGUGAACUAUGCCUGAAUAGGGUGAAGCCAGAGGAAACUCUGGUGGAGGCUCGCAGCGGUUCUGACGUGCAAAUCGAUCGUCAAAUUUGGGUAUAGGGGCGAAAGACUAAUCGAA
rnacentral:rRNA from 1 species